ACGAAAAUUACCUGCUAAGAUCAUCAAGUUCCCAUCAAGGCUACAUUCAGGAAACAACAGAAAAGGGAAGAUGGCCUGGAGACAGACACCAGUGUUAUGUGGCUUUGCCUCUGGUGCAGAAUUUACUUUGGUCAUCAAAACAGAGGACACAUUUUCAGAGUGCCAUGUGCAAGAGCCUGUGACAGUAUGUAAUGCCUGCUCUUCUGCUGGGGUUCAUACGUGAAGCUUCAGGGGAAGAAUUGUGACUGCACCAUACAUCAAUAUGUGCCUAAUAAACACCAACUGGGAAUGAUGUUCCUUAGUAGAUACACUAAUGCAGUUCUUCAGUGGUGGAUUUCCAAGUAAUUUAUCUGCAAACCAUCUCUCUCCACAGCCUGCACUUGGAUGUUGUAUUAGCUGAUCAGUUUCCCUCACCAGAACGGAAAAGAGACUUUUAGUAGAGAAAUGCGCAGCAAGGCAGGGGACCACUUGUGGAGAAGCUUGCUAAAUCUCUGUGUGACUCUUCUUGCCUAACCUUAACCACACCAAACAUCUAAACAAGUAGGCUAGAUUUCCUGUGCAAAAGACAAGUACCUUAAAAAGAUGAUUUAUCCUCUCCUCAAAUAAGAUUUUGAUGAAAUGCUCUAGGAAAACAGAAUUGUCCCACAGUGAUGUCUCUCUAUGGAGAGACAUCACUGUGGGACAAUUCUAUUUGUCUUGUCUAAUAAUUAAUAUCUAAAUAUUAGAUGAUUUAAGCUAGUCAUCUAGACUUCUUGGACUGAGAAAAAAUACUAGUCAUGUGCAUACUAAUACUGAUGAUGGUCCCAGGUAGCAUGAAUCACCCUGGGGAUGGGACUCAUUCUUUUUCCAUUUACUGUAGAGGGAACCAACUGAUCUACUUUCAGUUGGACUAAUGAAAUCUAAUGAGGCUCUUUCAGCUAAAAUAUGGCACGGAUGCAAAUUCCUAAUUUCUAGGCAUGGAAUAUCUGGGUGUCUGGUGUAAAUAAGACCACUAUUUUCACUCAGUA